rnacentral:rRNA from 1 species
AGGACAAACGCUGGCGGCGUACCUAAGACAUGCAAGUCGAACGGGGCUCACCGCUUCGGCGGGGAGUCGAGUGGCGGACGGGUGAGUAACGCGUAGGAACCUGUCGUGAAGUGGGGGAUAACGCUGGGAAACCGGCGCUAAUACCGCAUAGCAUCAGUGAUGAUGAAAGCCGGGUGCUCACGCAAGUGGGUGGCGCUUUAUGAGGGGCCUGCGUCCGAUUAGCUAGUUGGUGGGGUAAAGGCCUACCAAGGCAUCGAUCGGUAGCUGGUCUGAGAGGAUGGUCAGCCACACUGGGACUGAGACACGGCCCAGACUCCUACGGGAGGCAGCAGUUAGGAAAUUUUUUCCAAUGGGGGAAACCCUGAGAGAGUAACGCCGCGUGGAGGAUGACGGCCUUCGGUUGUAACUCCUUUCUGGGGACGAGUAGAAGACGGUACCCAGGAAGAAGCCUCGGCUACUACGCGCCAGCAGCCGC